AGGUAAACAAAAUCUAUUCAAGAAUCACCUUCAUUUUAUUGAUAAUCUCCCUCCUUGAUUCAUACGAAAAUUUCUACUGUUGCUCAUCUAACUUUGUUUUCGCUCACAUGGAACAGCAUGCUGUAGUAGCUGCACAGGAUAAUAAGUGCUAUGGAACCAAAGCCUCCUUCAAUUUGUGGGAUCCAACAAUUGCUCGGGCAAAUGAUUUCAGCUUGUCACAGCUCUGGGUCACUGCAGGUUCCUACAACGGAAAUGACCUCAAUACCAUUGAAGCUGGAUGGCAGGUCAGACCUGAAGUGGAAACAUAAUACCGGCAGUAUUUUUGUCACACCCGAUUUUAAAGAACAAAACCAGGCUAGCCAUAUGUGUGCCCAGGAAGUCCACAGAUACAACAACAGAAGCAAUAAUAUCAAAAACAAUGUUAUAGAGCGGAAACAUACUUAUAAUUAACACUUACAUCAGAGAAUCGUAACACAAUAACUAAUCUUCAGGCUCAAUCUUCACAGGGACGGCUGACUGGGGGUAACAUAUGCCUAGCACUUCUUGUAUCCUGAUAACGUCCUUCGUAACUCCUUCGCUCCUCUGAUAACUCUUAGUAGUAUACUGGAGUGGUGGGAAAUAGCAAGAGUGAGCACAUAUCGUACUCAACAAGUAUAACCAGGGGUUCAUGAGGCUCAAAUGGCUGACACUGGUUUAACUGCAUUUAGCUUUUAAUAGUGGAGAGCAUGUUCAUAAUUUAAUAGCAAUUGUCAAGGUAGCAGUAAUAAUCCAUUAAUCACAUGAUCAAGUGUAAGCAUAAUUAAUUCUUAGCAUAAACGAUAAUCAAAUGAACAUAACAACUUAACAAGCUCAUCGUCGUCGCAGCAAGAACCCCCAAGGCCGCUCUUAACCGUGAGCACGGCUAGUAUACUAGUUUUAACACUCUGCAGAGGUUGUACAUCUUUACCCAUGAGUCAUGAUUUACCCUUUCGCCCGAGGUGAUCAGCCUCUUAACCCACUCCCAAGGAAGGUCGGCAGGGAUCACUAUGAAGCCUUUCAAAAGUUCAUCUAACAUGUUAGGGCCGCAAGGUUUCCUUUGCGAGCAGAUAUAGAUACCCCCCUUCCGAAUGGCACAAUGACGCGCAGCCUAUACACAUAGGGACAGGGGCUCGCACUAUACCCGUGUCGGUUCAGCCCCUCCGCCCUUUCGGGUAACCUCUAACAAGCUAGAAAAGGUCUCCAUACUGAGCUAAAGCCAGAGCCAUUAUAGCCCUCAUGGUUGCACUGUUGUCCCGGUGAUCACUUACAGACAAGAUCUCAUAUAGUUAUUUGUCAUCUUUUAACGUUCAUUGCAUAGUUAUUAAUCAUCUUACAAGAUCAUGGAUUAUAUCAAGCACUAGCACAUCUACAACAAAUGCAUAUCAAGUAGGUAGCAAGGAAUCCAGGUAACAAUCAUCUAUGAUUUUGCUAAGGUCGACAAGGUGAAAGCAUGCAUAUGACAUAUAUGUGUAGUUAUAAGUGAAUAGGUAACAAGGAUGAUCCCAAGUUAUACUUGCCUUAAGCACUUGCUCAAUUCUCACACCAACAGCUUUUGGUCAUCAUCUUCUCAUCUUCAACGUCCACAAACAGUUCUCGUCUACUCGUAUCAAGCACCACACAUAGGCAAACAUACAAACAACAAUAGAACAACUAAGAACAGUACACCACACAAGAGAAAAGAGUGUACUAAUAAAUGAUCAGCACUACAAGAUCGCAAGAACCACCGAAACCGAACCUAUCGUUAAAAGAAAUGACUAACGAUAGUUUUAUAUUAUAAAAGAGAAGCUUACAUAUUUAAUUUAUUUAACUAUUUAAGUAAACAAAAUAAUAUAAAAGUUAUUAAUUCAGAUUAAUGUUAACAUAAAUUAUUUUUAAAAGUCAAGUUAAAACUAAUCAUGUUUUAUUUAUAAAUAUUUAGAUAUCAUUUAUGCCAAAUCCACACUAACAUGUAAAUACAAACUGACAUAUGAGAGCAUCUAAAAUCUAAUCAAAUUUAACAUACAUGUUUGGACUAAAUAAAUUAUAAUUUAGAAACAUGAUUAUGUAUACCAUUUAAUCAGCUUAACAUUUAUAUAUGAAAUACAUAAAUAUAAAACCUACUGAUUUUUUACUUAUAAAACUAGAUGCAAGUGUAUUAAUCACUUUAGUAUUUAACUAUGUAUAGAAAGCAUGUGGUAAAUAAACUAAAGCACUUAUGUUUUAAGUUUGAAUUAAACAACUUAUAAUUCAAAAGACACUAAAGUUGAUAUUAAUUAAAUUAAUAUUAAUUUAUAUAUAAAAAAAAGCUAUACACAAAUCCGUGUUGCUUUUAAUUUGAAACUUAAUUGCAUAAGCAUAAAUUAAAUUAAUAUUUAACUUAUAACAUUCGAUGAUGUGAGACAUGUUAAACAUCGCCACUAACACGUAGCUUAUGGUCGGCACGGUCGUGGUGCGACAAGAACGAAUUUACGACCCUAGGUUGGUUUUAAUUAAAAAGCUAUUAAAUAAAUACUAAACAAAUUGUAUUUUUAAAUUAAUAAAUUCAGAAUUGGGACACAUCAUAAACAUUGGUACUACUACAACGUUAUGAAAAUAACGCAACUUGAAUGAACCGAAUUAGAUUUAAGAUGAUUAAAUUGUAGAAAUUACGGAUGAGUGGUGAUUCUGUAAAUACCUCAUCUUCUAUCUUGUGCCUGUACGGAUCGUAACCUCCAUGGCCAUGGCGUUCACUGUGUACGUGAGUGGUAGGAGGCUCGCCUUGCCUCCUGGCCAGGGAAAGACGCCAAGGUGGGAGCUCACCAGCUGACCAAGAGGCCCAACGUGACCAGUGAUGCGCAGCCCCGCACAUGGGGCACGAUGAGGCCACGUCGGAGCAGCUGGCCGGAGAUAGCCUUGCCGGCCAGACUGGAACCAGUAGCGCAAGGGGUCACGAGUUGGGGCGCACGUCCCAAGGGUGGCACGAUGUGCAGCAGCAGGGAGGGGUAGGGGUCACCGGCGGUCGAAAAAGAUGAAGAACAGAGUCAUCUAUGGUGGAGCUCGUCGGAAAACAUAAAGAAGGGUUAGGAAAACGAUCAUACGGCCACGGAUUCAAAAUAAUAAUGACAUGCCGGUGUAGAGGAUAACAAGACGAACCUCUAGAUGGCGACGGUUUUCGCAGGAGAUGUCCAAGAUGGCUGGAAAAGCUCGCCGAACCUUCGCCGGAAGUUCGUCGGAGCUUUAGGUUUCGAAACUUCGGCUUUAGAUCUAGAACGAUAGAAGUGGCGGCUCAGAAAACCGAUCGUACUUUCGGAACCAGCGCGUCAAGGGCUACGCCGGCAUAUAUAUAGUGUUAGGGUUUUGGGUUGAUCGAAAAACGAGAUAUUUUAUUAUUUUCGGAAUUAAUUAAUUUCGUGAAUAAAAAUAAUUCUAGAAAGUCCAGAAUUAAUAUUUAAGGUCCGAAAAAUACUACGAAGGGUCCAAAAAUCAUGAGAAAAUUCUUAGAGAUAUUUUAGAACAUGAGGAACCCAAAUAAAGUAUUUAGAGCCCAUAAAAGAUAUCUAGGAGUAUCUAAAAAUUAGAUUAUGCUCACAGAAAAGUGGAACGAGUUUCAGGAAAAUGCGAAAAUAAUUCCCGGUAACUUUUUAGAGAUUGAUUGACGGGUGAGGAACUGAAAGGAGUGAUUUGGGUUACACAGAAAAGAUUUUGGGAAACUCGAAACGAAAGCAUAGGGUGUAAAACAAGGAAUAAAGAUGUGCCGAACAAGGAGAAAUUUUUUUUUUAUAUUUUCAUGAGCACUCAAAUACAAAACUAAAUCAAUUUUCAUCUAUUUUAAAAGGAGCAGAUUUUAGGGUGUUACAAUUCUACCCCACUUAACAGGAAUCUCGUCCCGAGAUUCGAUGAGACUAGAGAUAACGAUAAAGCAGAUCUUCAAGAUUGUUUUGAUACUUUUGACGGGAUAUGAUUUAGAGAUUAAGGAUUAACAAAGGUUGACAAAAAUGUCAAGGAUUUGUUCUCAAGAUUCAUUUGGGAUUUAUGAAAUGAGAUCAAAGGAUUGAAGAUCAGCAUAGGUAGAAAAGAAAGAUCAAGGAAGGUUAAAAAAAUAGAUAAAGGUUGAUCACAGAUCUUUAGAUUAUGAGGUCUAAAGUCAAGGAGUGAAGAUCAGCAAGAGAUAAUAUAAAUGAUAAAGAUACAUCUUAUAGUGCUUAGAAUUCCUUGAUUCAAGAUUAUGACAUUUAUGAUAAAAGAUUAAAAUUAGCAAGGAUUGGUAAGUUCUUCAAUGUUAUUUCGAGCUCUAUAAUGAGAGUUGAUAAAAUAACUGUAGACGGACAAAGGUUAAGUUGAAAAAUAAUAAUCGAUCACAAGAAAUACAAAGAUUGAUGACAAGAAAAGUAGACUAAGAGGAUGAAGUUGACCUUUAGAUCAUUAUAUUAUAAGGUAAACAAUCAAGGGGCAAAGACUAACAAAAGAGCAGAAGAAGAUGACGAUUGAUGAUAGAAAAGAUAAAGUUUAAUAUACAAGAAAGAGAUAUACAAGAAAGAUAAGAUUGAUCAUUAGGUCGAUAGGUCUUGAAACUUAAGAUAGAUGAUGGUAGCAGACGCUACCCCACUUAACAAGAUUGAGCUACUUCUCAAGACGAUAACUUUUGGGCCUCCUUCAAAACACAAGAAUAGAGACGACACACAAGCAAUACGCCAAACAAGACAAGCACACAACACAUCAUCGAUUCUAUACGUGUUUCUUCAAUAUGGUGGUCAUCCUAAAGGGCAGAUGAGAGAUGAUAAAAGACUAUCGAACUUUUGAAUGAGGUAGGAUAAAAAAACUUUUAGUAAAAUUACAUAGAACAAAAACCAAGGGAGUAAGCAAUAAUAGCUCAAAGGAAGCUAUCAAGGAGAGAAUACAACGGGACAAGGAUUGAGAAAUAAUCAAAAUUAAAGAGUCAAGGGAUAAUAAAAUAGUUUUAUAGCAAAUUAGACUUUUCUAAUCGACCAGUUCUAUCUAGGCAUACGUCCUACAGUCAACACUGCUUUGAUACCACUCUGUCACACCCGAUUUUAAAGAACAAAACCAGGCUAGCCAUAUGUGUGCCCAGGAAGUCCACAGAUACAACAACAGAAGCAAUAAUAUCAAAAACAAUGUUAUAGAGCGGAAACAUACUUAUAAUUAACACUUACAUCAGAGAAUCGUAACACAAUAACUAAUCUUCAGGCUCAAUCUUCACAGGGACGGCUGACUGGGGGUAACAUAUGCCUAGCACUUCUUGUAUCCUGAUAACGUCCUUCGUAACUCCUUCGCUCCUCUGAUAACUCUUAGUAGUAUACUGGAGUGGUGGGAAAUAGCAAGAGUGAGCACAUAUCGUACUCAACAAGUAUAACCAGGGGUUCAUGAGGCUCAAAUGGCUGACACUGGUUUAACUGCAUUUAGCUUUUAAUAGUGGAGAGCAUGUUCAUAAUUUAAUAGCAAUUGUCAAGGUAGCAGUAAUAAUCCAUUAAUCACAUGAUCAAGUGUAAGCAUAAUUAAUUCUUAGCAUAAACGAUAAUCAAAUGAACAUAACAACUUAACAAGCUCAUCGUCGUCGCAGCAAGAACCCCCAAGGCCGCUCUUAACCGUGAGCACGGCUAGUAUACUAGUUUUAACACUCUGCAGAGGUUGUACAUCUUUACCCAUGAGUCAUGAUUUACCCUUUCGCCCGAGGUGAUCAGCCUCUUAACCCACUCCCAAGGAAGGUCGGCAGGGAUCACUAUGAAGCCUUUCAAAAGUUCGUCUAACAUGUUAGGGCCGCAAGGUUUCCUUUGCGAGCAGAUAUAGAUACCCCCCUUCCGAAUGGCACAAUGACGCGCAGCCUAUACACAUAGGGACAGGGGCUCGCACUAUACCCGUGUCGGUUCAGCCCCUCCGCCCUUUCGGGUAACCUCUAACAAGCUAGAAAAGGUCUCCAUACUGAGCUAAAGCCAGAGCCAUUAUAGCCCUCAUGGUUGCACUGUUGUCCCGGUGAUCACUUACAGACAAGAUCUCAUAUAGUUAUUUGUCAUCUUUUAACGUUCAUUGCAUAGUUAUUAAUCAUCUUACAAGAUCAUGGAUUAUAUCAAGCACUAGCACAUCUACAACAAAUGCAUAUCAAGUAGGUAGCAAGGAAUCCAGGUAACAAUCAUCUAUGAUUUUGCUAAGGUCGACAAGGUGAAAGCAUGCAUAUGACAUAUAUGUGUAGUUAUAAGUGAAUAGGUAACAAGGAUGAUCCCAAGUUAUACUUGCCUUAAGCACUUGCUCAAUUCUCACACCAACAGCUUUUGGUCAUCAUCUUCUCAUCUUCAACGUCCACAAACAGUUCUCGUCUACUCGUAUCAAGCACCACACAUAGGCAAACAUACAAACAACAAUAGAACAACUAAGAACAGUACACCACACAAGAGAAAAGAGUGUACUAAUAAAUGAUCAGCACUACAAGAUCGCAAGAACCACCGAAACCGAACCUAUCGUUAAAAGAAAUGACUAACGAUAGUUUUAUAUUAUAAAAGAGAAGCUUACAUAUUUAAUUUAUUUAACUAUUUAAGUAAACAAAAUAAUAUAAAAGUUAUUAAUUCAGAUUAAUGUUAACAUAAAUUAUUUUUAAAAGUCAAGUUAAAACUAAUCAUGUUUUAUUUAUAAAUAUUUAGAUAUCAUUUAUGCCAAAUCCACACUAACAUGUAAAUACAAACUGACAUAUGAGAGCAUCUAAAAUCUAAUCAAAUUUAACAUACAUGUUUGGACUAAAUAAAUUAUAAUUUAGAAACAUGAUUAUGUAUACCAUUUAAUCAGCUUAACAUUUAUAUAUGAAAUACAUAAAUAUAAAACCUACUGAUUUUUUACUUAUAAAACUAGAUGCAAGUGUAUUAAUCACUUUAGUAUUUAACUAUGUAUAGAAAGCAUGUGGUAAAUAAACUAAAGCACUUAUGUUUUAAGUUUGAAUUAAACAACUUAUAAUUCAAAAGACACUAAAGUUGAUAUUAAUUAAAUUAAUAUUAAUUUAUAUAUAAAAAAAAGCUAUACACAAAUCCGUGUUGCUUUUAAUUUGAAACUUAAUUGCAUAAGCAUAAAUUAAAUUAAUAUUUAACUUAUAACAUUCGAUGAUGUGAGACAUGUUAAACAUCGCCACUAACACGUAGCUUAUGGUCGGCACGGUCGUGGUGCGACAAGAACGAAUUUACGACCCUAGGUUGGUUUUAAUUAAAAAGCUAUUAAAUAAAUACUAAACAAAUUGUAUUUUUAAAUUAAUAAAUUCAGAAUUGGGACACAUCAUAAACAUUGGUACUACUACAACGUUAUGAAAAUAACGCAACUUGAAUGAACCGAAUUAGAUUUAAGAUGAUUAAAUUGUAGAAAUUACGGAUGAGUGGUGAUUCUGUAAAUACCUCAUCUUCUAUCUUGUGCCUGUACGGAUCGUAACCUCCAUGGCCAUGGCGUUCACUGUGUACGUGAGUGGUAGGAGGCUCGCCUUGCCUCCUGGCCAGGGAAAGACGCCAAGGUGGGAGCUCACCAGCUGACCAAGAGGCCCAACGUGACCAGUGAUGCGCAGCCCCGCACAUGGGGCACGAUGAGGCCACGUCGGAGCAGCUGGCCGGAGAUAGCCUUGCCGGCCAGACUGGAACCAGUAGCGCAAGGGGUCACGAGUUGGGGCGCACGUCCCAAGGGUGGCACGAUGUGCAGCAGCAGGGAGGGGUAGGGGUCACCGGCGGUCGAAAAAGAUGAAGAACAGAGUCAUCUAUGGUGGAGCUCGUCGGAAAACAUAAAGAAGGGUUAGGAAAACGAUCAUACGGCCACGGAUUCAAAAUAAUAAUGACAUGCCGGUGUAGAGGAUAACAAGACGAACCUCUAGAUGGCGACGGUUUUCGCAGGAGAUGUCCAAGAUGGCUGGAAAAGCUCGCCGAACCUUCGCCGGAAGUUCGUCGGAGCUUUAGGUUUCGAAACUUCGGCUUUAGAUCUAGAACGAUAGAAGUGGCGGCUCAGAAAACCGAUCGUACUUUCGGAACCAGCGCGUCAAGGGCUACGCCGGCAUAUAUAUAGUGUUAGGGUUUUGGGUUGAUCGAAAAACGAGAUAUUUUAUUAUUUUCGGAAUUAAUUAAUUUCGUGAAUAAAAAUAAUUCUAGAAAGUCCAGAAUUAAUAUUUAAGGUCCGAAAAAUACUACGAAGGGUCCAAAAAUCAUGAGAAAAUUCUUAGAGAUAUUUUAGAACAUGAGGAACCCAAAUAAAGUAUUUAGAGCCCAUAAAAGAUAUCUAGGAGUAUCUAAAAAUUAGAUUAUGCUCACAGAAAAGUGGAACGAGUUUCAGGAAAAUGCGAAAAUAAUUCCCGGUAACUUUUUAGAGAUUGAUUGACGGGUGAGGAACUGAAAGGAGUGAUUUGGGUUACACAGAAAAGAUUUUGGGAAACUCGAAACGAAAGCAUAGGGUGUAAAACAAGGAAUAAAGAUGUGCCGAACAAGGAGAAAUUUUUUUUUUAUAUUUUCAUGAGCACUCAAAUACAAAACUAAAUCAAUUUUCAUCUAUUUUAAAAGGAGCAGAUUUUAGGGUGUUACAAUUUUCUGCCUUGCUUGUUUUUUGUUUGCAUCAGGAAAGGAAGCGCACCAAAAGCUCUGGUCCUUGCCCUCUAAGUUGUGCUAUCACUUUCAUUAUUGUAAACUAAUGAUCCUUUUCUCUGUACAAAAUUGCAGGUUUACCCCAGCUAUGUAUGGAGAUAGCAAUACUAGACUCUUCAUCUACUGGACUGUAAGAUAGACAUCACGUUCCUUUUUGUCUUCAUUGGAAAUAUUGAUCAUUUUUCAUUGAGGUUGGGGUAAGUUUACUAACAUUCUAUUGAUCUGGAAUUUUAUAGCGGGAUGCAUAUCAACACACAGGAUGUUACAACCUAGGAUGCGCAGGGUUUGUCCAGACAAACAAUCAGAUCGCCAUCGCUGGUAGCUUGUCCCCAAUCUCCACCUAUGGUGGCACACAAUAUGACUUCGAUAUUUUGGUUUGGAAGGUAAAUAAUACAUAGCAUUAAUUCACACCCAAAGCACACAAACUAAAUUCAUUAAUGUGCAUAGAGAACUCGUGUCAAAUGCAUGCUUAUUUGAUGCAUGAUUCUGACUAUUGAACAACUCUCCCAAUUGACAUUUUGCUUGCAGGAUCCACAGAGUGGCAAUUGGUGGCUACAAGUGGGAGGCACUGACGUGGGUUAUUGGCCAUCCUCGAUCUUCACAUACUUGAAAGAUAGUGCCUCCUCUGUUGAGUGGGGUGGCGAGGUAUUCUCGCCAGAUGCUGGCCAAACUUCGACACAAAUGGGCAGUGGACACUUCCCUAAUGAAGGAUUUGGCAAGGCUUGUCACAUCAAGAACAUGCUAGUGGUAGAUUCGUCGAACACCCUCAGAUCGCCAAGUAGUGUAAACCCGAUAACUGAGCAGAGCAACUGCUAUAAUGUGCAGAGUGGUACCAGUGGCGACUGGGGCACGUACAUCUACUUUGGCGGACCUGGGAAAAAUCCUAACUGCUCAUAGUAAAACUAUCUCGUUGACACAUGCAUGACGAGUACCCAUUUAGCAAUAUAAUGCAUAUAUAUUACUAGACACAGGAAUAAGAACUGUUAGGGUCCAUAUUAAUGCAUGCAAUAUGCGUAUCCAUGUAUGGCCCUGCAGUGGUCAAUUAUUGUUAUGCAUCCAUCAACAUUAGUAAGAUGUGUGAUCAAAUGUUAAAAGCUUUCACCAAAUGAAUUCAUGUUUCAACGCGUGUUCCAGAAUAUAUGGAAUAAGAACUUUUUUCGUCGUUAGUUAUUACAAUCAUAUAGGCAUUGCACCAAAGACAUGACCAACUUGAAAUAAUUCUUUUUUUUAGUGUACAAAUGUUAUUAUACUUACUUCUAGCACUCAAAGAUAUAUAAUACAACAAAAAAACUACAAAAAUAAAUUUAAAAAGAUGUCCUACGAGCCCCUGAAACUCAAUGUGAAUUAAACACGUCCCAUAUGACAAGAUGAAGCUGUUGAUUAAAGGAUAGGAUGUUGCAAUCUAGAGUCGGCAACAAUGCAUCUAUUCACCUACCGUGGAUGACGUUUUUCCCUUAUAAUAAAUCAAUAAUGUGAUUUUUGCAAAAAAAAAUAAAUAAAUCAAUAAUGUGAUUUUUGCAAAAUAAAUAAAUAAAUCAAUAAUGCGAAAGAAGGAAUGAUAGUAUCUUCAACUAGUCGGUGUAAAUUAGUUGUCUUUAAAAAGGUACACUAGUGGAGGUAUGGGUAGCAGUCCCGGUUGGAAACCCCCUAUUGUCUCGGUUUCCAACCAAGACUGCGAAAAGUCUCGCUUUUUAGUCCAAAGCCACCCAACAAGAAUUGAAUAGUGACUUCUAGUCCUAGUUUGUUAUACUAGCUCAGCCUAAAGCUAGGGGGCUCUAGCCCGGGUCUGAUGGCGCCCACCUCUAGUUUUGGUUGGUUUAACCAACCGAAACUAAAUGCCACUUCUUUUUCUUUUUUCUUUUUCAUUUUCUUUUUAUUUUUUUCUUUUUAAUUUUUGUUUCUUUUAUUUUCUUUUCUCUUUGGUGGUUACUUUCCAUUCAAUCUGUUUUCAUGUCAAAUAGUUUUCAUAUUCGUAUUAUAUGCUAUACUAUUGUACAUCCAUAAAUGACAAUGAAACUCAUUAAGUAAUUAAAGAUCUUGUAUAUUACAAUGAUUAUCCGCCCAAAUUCAUCAAGUUCAUAUAACCAUAAUAGUUUAAACUGAGUCAUUACAAACUAGAUGUCCCAAGUACGCCCCAAAGUUCAUAUAAACAUUAGUAGAUCACCGCCUAAUUUGACUUCCUCAUAUUAUUAAGUCGGUGUGGUGUAGGUCACCGAUGUGGUAUCCAUAAAUAUCAUUGUCAUAGAGCAAUGCAUUAUGUAGUACACUCUCCCUUGCUUCAAAAGUAUGAACACGGAGUCUACUAGCAACGGCUAGCAGUGGUCGAGAAGUCGGUGGGCUAGGUGAUCCCAUCAUAGUCAUAAGCUAGUUUUCAUGAAACCCUUCUAUAUAGUGAGUGUAAGCCAUUCAUCGUUAUAUUUCCAAUCAUAAGCCAAUACAUACAUUGUCUAGUUUAUAACGACUUCAAAGUUGCAACCUGAGUAGGUUAAGUCAUAGCCAUCAACAUGUAAGUGUUGGCAAAAGAAAUAGAUAUGAGAACCAAGCUUUCUAAUAACAACAAAUCUAGAUAUAAGCUAUGAGUUUGACUUCAACUUUACAACAUGAUUGCUUCGACAGCCCGUAACAUAAUGAUACCAGCCCGCAUUUAUUGCUUGUAUCAUCAUAGAGGAUAGUUUAGGCAGGGUGUACCCAUUAUUCGCAAGUUUAUUUAUUUCAACAUGCAAUGACAUAAUAUUUUUGUGCAAUUUUCUUAUCAGGUGCCUUUAUUCCUAUUGCUUAGAUUUGUACAACAUUCCUUCCUAGCAGUGAUAGAAAAGCCAAUUUGACAUUGGAUCAAUCCACCAUUAUCUACAUGAAAGCUCUCAACUUCCACUCCCUUAAACCUAAAAUUUGAGAGUGUCUCUUCAAGCCAAACGAUUGGGUCAAGUGCCUACAGUAUAUCUAAGAAACACAUAUAUAUACAUAUUGGAAAAAUAUAUUAUUUAUACAAGCAUAUUUAAAAAAUAUUAAUUAUUGAAAAUUUAUAUCGUUGCUUACUAUGCUAGGAUGAUUGAUUAGUACAUUCAGCAACCUUGGUUUGAAUCCCUGAGUAAUACAAUAGCCCCAAACUCGGACAACCGGUUUAGGGAGACGUCCAGCCAUCUCUUCUCACUAAAUUUAAUAUGUCAAAAUUCAUAUAACUACAAUUUAGCAAGGGGAACCAAACAGGUUCUUACAAGUAGAAGGAUUGGGAUCGUAAUACCCAUCUACAACACGCUAGCCAUUCGCCUGGUGGGGUCCAACAUAGAACCGCUCAAAUAAAGGACUCGGCAGUCCAACUCUUUAGUCGAUGGCUAUGAAAUAAAAAUAACUAGAGCCAUGCACUCUUUAAUAUGAAAUGUGAAAUUUUGCAGUUCUUAGAAAAAAAUAGAGCCACCCAUUUAGAUAGAUCAGAUGGCUAUGAAAUAAAAUUAACCAAUGUAGAUGAACUUAAGUUGUGGGCCGAAACCUGAACUAUAUGAGUCUAGAACCAAAAAUAUAUGGAUCAGAAAUUAUUUUCAAAUUUAAAGCGUAGAAUAUAACUUUUUCUGCCCCUUAUCUCCCUGGCCAUGGAAAAGCUAUCUUCUCGGUGGCACCCGCCAGCCAUGUCAGGCUGCAGGCUGCAGCAGCUUGGCGCCAAAAGCCAGCUGGUGAUGGAGUCCAGCGAUUCCGAGGCCGACGAGUUCUGCAUCUCCACCCGCCGUCUCUUGAUCCAGGGCUGCCCGAUGAUGUUUUUGCAGCUGGAGUUUUCAGCUCUUCUGGGAAUUGGUUUUGCAAGACUUCUGAGGGUUCAGACCGAGAAGGCUGUGGCGGCGAGGAAGCCGUGAAAGAGGGCCACUGGUGAUGGAGUCCCGCAAUUCCAAGGACGACAAGUUUUGCAUCGCCAGUUCAGUCAAUGAAUUAACAAAAUAAAUCCCAAGCUAAUGUUGGCAUGAUGGGAUAACUUGGGCCUUGUUUAGUUCACCCCGAAAUCCAAAAACUUUUCAAGAUUCCAUGUCACAUUAAAUCUUGUGGCACAUGAAUGAAGCAUUAAAUAUAGAAGAAAAAACAAAAAUUAAUUAUACAGUUUGUCUGUAAUUUACGAAAUAAAUCUUUUGAGCCUAGUUAAUUUAUGAUUGGACAAUAUUUGCCACAAACAAACAAAAAUGCUACAGUACCAAAAUCCGAAAUCUUUUCGGAACUAAACAAGGCCUUGGUAGAAAGCCUAUUCGAUGAUGUGCAUGAGGGAGGCGGCGUUGGAUCAACGAUGGGGUGGAGCACGAGACAGGCAAACGCCAACGAGUCCCUAGGAGUGGAGCGCCUUGUCGAUGGGUGCUUCGGAAGGGGAUUAAGUUGGAAUUACUAGACCGCCCUUAUUUCUAAUUAGUUUGAUUAUUUUCAGAUCAAUGGUUGAGAAAAAUUUAGGUGGAGAUGUAAAUAAAAGCACUAUUUAACUGUAAAUAAAGCAUCUCAUAUGAAAUAUUAGGUGGAGAUGUAAUUAAUUAACUGCAUGCCGUCCUAUUGAUACCGUUCAAGAAAAAGCACUAGUUAAUACAGGAAGAGAUAUUAUAAUUAAUAGAACAGACAAAAAGUCAAGCAAUCCUUUUGCGUAUAAUAGUAUGAUGUGUCGUCAUGUCCCAAACAUGAUACAGCUAUACUGAUGUAUUAGUAGGUAUAUUUAGUUUUCAUUAAACUAAUGUAGCUCGGCAAUCAUGAUGUGUACAAAUACAUUCAUGUUGCUUCUUCGAAUUGUCCAUCAUAAUAAUGUAAGCACUUGGUCAUGUUAGCUAUCUUCAUAACCGUGUGUAAUCGGGUUUGGGUUGGGAAAGGAUUAAUUCAACGUGUUUUGCCCAUGGGAACAAGUCAAAAUUUCCAUGCAUGUCUUCUAGUCAUGGUUCAGAAUUGAACUGGCCGUAGCAACUGGGCAGAUUGGCGCUCCUUGCGAUGACCAUGCCUCCAAUCCAUGUCGAAAGCACCCGAAUAAUUAUCGUCUGGAGGAAAAAUAAUAAUAAUUGGAGGAGACGUCUCAAUAAGUCUCCUCUUCGCUCUGUCUCUCUAGCUGAUCUGAUCUCUAAAUAUAAAUCAAUGGUUAUACAGAUUGCACAGCAAGUGAGAAGCAGCACGGGGCAGGCAGGCCAAGCUCUGAUACACAAAUAAACCAACACGUAAUGGCUUCGACGCGAGUGCGCUUGGUGGCCACGCUCAUCAUCUCUCUUGUGCUUCUCGCCUUGGAGGCUGCAGCUGCGAGGCAACUCAGCGAGGCUCCCCUCACAAGCAUUCAGGUACAUACAGCGUCGCCACGUUGGUGUGUUUUUCUACUGGAAAUCAAAAUUUGGGACCUUUUCAAUUUAUAUGUUUGCUGGCUUUCUUUGGUUGAUAUAUAUAGUUCUGUUUCUGAGACAGACUACCGUACCUAAAGAGACACUGAUAAAUAUGCAAGCAGCCCACCCUUCUUAUGAAGGCAUGUUUGCUUGCGCAUCCUACUCAUAUGAGCACCAACAUGAACCUGAGCAUGCACAUCUUGAGAAUAUAAGGACGAUAAUCAAUAUAGGCAUCUUGUUGUUAACGAGCACAUCAUUUAGGCCUAUAUGAAUGUCACAGGCUUCUUCUUCCACUGGCAAUCAAUAGUUGUGCAGAAGAGAGGCCUCAUGGUCUUCCACUGGUUCUUGGGACCUGGGCAGUUUUCCAGGGUCCUCGAGUGUUGCCUCCAUCAUAUCCACAAUUAUAAACAUCCUAAAAAAUAAGAGUCCCUAUAUACAUAAAAAAAUUCCUUUGUUGUUUAAUCUGUCAAACAGCCUGUUGUUGCUCGAUCAAACAGUGCUAACCUGUGUUAAUUUUAGACAGCUAGCUUUUAAUCUGUCCAAACCGGCCAUUAGAUAUGUUAGAUAAUGUUUACAUUGGGUGUCUGCUGGCUUCCGAAGCCUAGCCGUGCCGUCGGCUCUCUGGUCGCUGCAAACUGUUGCUAUGUAAUUUUUUAGAAGACAAUCCAGUAGCGUAGGCGUUCUUGCUUGUUUUGGCUACUCGCCGCUGCAGCAAGUCUCUUGUAACAUUUGGUUACUCCACUUCUUAAUGAAAAACGGGCUAAACACCCGCUCUAGAAAAAAAAGAUAAUGUUUACAUUAACAUUGACCACACCUUUUGUUAACAAAACCAAAUAAAAUAUGGUCACAAACAUAAGCCGUUGAGGUAUAUCGCAAAAUCAUAUAAAGAUAAAUGACUUUGCUUAGAGUAAGUGAUGAAGACUUCAAGAUCAAAAAACAAUAAACAUAGGUCAGUAUUGGAUGGGUUUGGUCCAAGAGAUAGAAUUAAUUCCUAGUCACUUAAGCUACAGUUCAUGCAAAAUAUAAACUAGGAGCAUACCCCGCGCGUUGCUGCGGGAAUCGCGGAUUAAUGGAUUGUGUAGUACGAUGAUGUGGACUAUACUUAUUUGUCUUGUUGGCGUGGACACUACAAUUGUCAUAUGUGCUAUUGGAUUUUAAUUGUAUAUAUGUGGUAGCACAUUGUAUGUUAAGAUAAAUAGUUAUUGAGGUUUUACUUAGUGGAUUUUAACUCAAUAUGGUAGUGCAUUGCUUAGGUGGAUAGCUUGCAUGCUUAGAGAAAUACUUAGUGGGGUUUAGGAUUAUAAGAGUUAUAGAUAACAAGGGGUCAUAUGGACGAUUGAAAUCUGUUACGGUAUCUUCUUGCAACCAUUGAUUCUGAGAAAUUCACAGAGCCCAGAUGGAGAUAUCAUAGACUGUGUGCACAUCACUAAACAGCCUGCAUUUGAUCAUCCUCUCCUCAAGAAUCAUGUUAUCCAGGUUCCUUCUACAACACCAUUUCAGAUUUCAUUUCAGUGUUAGCUGCCACCUGCCAAUUAAUUGUACCCUCGUGUGUCCAAUAUACAUGUUUAUUUCGAUGUGAUUCAUUGGUGGUGGUGCUCCAUCAUACCGUUUCAGAUGCGGCCUUCUGACUACCCAAUAAGCCAUUACGAUGAGUCCAGCAUUAUAACUCAUCCUUUCACCCAAACAUGGCAUCAAAAUGGCGAGUGCCCUGAGAACACCAUACCGAUCCGAAGGACCAAAGAUGAGGAUAUACUGAAGGCUAGCUCUAUCAGGAAGUAUGGCAAGAUGAUGCCCAUCGGUGUCCCAAAUCUAAUGUCUGUCGAAGACCCUCAAACAUCCAAUCAAACCAAAGGUCACCAGGUACAAACUAAAACCUCCCAUUCAAGAAUAUUUUACAUCCUAUCUCAUGGAUGUAUCGUUAUUAUAUGAUCUAACAUUGCAAGUAUACUUUACUUCCUAUCCCAUGGAUCAGCAUGCCGUCGCCUCUGCUUGGGGCAAUGAUAAGUACUAUGGAACCCAAGCCACCUUCAAUUUGUGGCAACCGACAGUUGAGAGCGCCAAGCACUUCAGUUUGGCUCAGCUCUGGAUCACCAGUGGGUCCUACCAGAACAACGACCUCAAUACCAUUGAAGCAGGAUGGCAGGUAAGACCUAAACGGGACACAUCAUUCCAAGCUUAUGCACAUAAAUUAUAUUAAAUGCUGCAUUUUAAGCUCCAUGACGUAUCUGCUGCUACGAUAACAUAAGAAGAAGUAGACUAGGUUGUCCAUUCACAUGCAAAACUUUUUCUUUCAUGAGUUAUACUAACAGCACUGUUUUUAGUAACUGAGAGAAGGCUUGAGAGUAUAAACUACUCCUGUAUUUUACUCUUUCUACAGAUCCAUGUUACCCACAAAUAGUACUGAACACAACAUCCAUAGUAGGUUCUCUUUACCAACCCUUCUGGGGCCUUUAAGCUCCUCUAAUAAGGAAUACAUGUCUAAGGUUCAUAUCUAAGUUAAACAUUUUAAAACAUAUAUUAUAAACUUGAAUACAAAUAUUGAUAUAGUAUUAAACUAUUUGUGUCUACUAGUGUUAAUAUUGGUAUUCGGGUCCAUAGAAUGUUUCAGUUAAUGAUGCUACAAGUGAAAUAACAUUGCUUCGGCCGGACAAAAUCAAGGAUGGACAUAUAUAUAUUUAUAGUCAUUGGAAGAAAUAUUUUAUUCUCAAAAGAAGACACUGCCACACAACAAAAUCGAUUUGAAUCCCAAGCAGUUGUCUUGAUUUUUAUGUUUUAUUUAUGGUUUAUGAAAAGGUAGCAACAUGUUGUCCACAUAUGGCAGCUCAUGCAUAGGACACACCUCAAAAUGGCAUACUGACUCAUAGCGCAUCUAGCAAACGGCAGUAUGGAAAAUUAAAAUCAAACUGUCCAGAUGCAGUUAAAGGGAAAUCGAAUCAACAGGAAAAUAAAUUUUCUUUCAAAAUGUUGGAGAGUAAUCUUAAUUAAUUAUAUGCAUACAUGACGAGUAACAAAGCAGAAUAUAACUAACUGCAUGCCGAUUCAACUGUGUAAUAUGUCAAAGAAACAUGUGCAAUUUCUUUCAGUGUGGCUCAUGGGCUGUGCACUCUACUAUAUUGCAGGUUUUCCCUAAUCUGUAUAAUGAUAGCAACGCUAGACUCUUCAUAUACUGGACUGUAAGAUAAAUACAAAAAUCUUUUUUUCUUCAUUGGCCAUGUUGAGUUCUCUUUUAUUAAGUUGUGAGAUAGAUUAAAGAUACUAAUUAUUUAUGGCAGAAUGAUGCUUAUGACAAAACAGGAUGUUACAACCUAUGCCCAGGAUUCAUCCAAACAAACAAUCAAAUCGCCAUUGGUGGCAGCAUCUCACAACUGUCCCCCGUCUCCAUUUAUGCAGGCUUGCAGUAUGACAUCACUAUUUUAGUUUGGAAGGUAAAACAGAAAAAAAUUUUAUUAUUAUGAGCAUUCAAAAUAAAAUUCAUGAAUUAGUACAAAUAAUUUGUGCCAGUUGCAUCUUGUUAAUUCUCAUGGGGCCUUGACUUCAGGAAGAAUCUAGCUGUUCUAUUUUUUCAGUUUUCAAAUAUAAUGAUGUUUUUAUACUUAUAGGCCAUACUAUGGAUUUGGUAUAUUUGUGGUGUCCCACAUAGUAAUGCAUUUGUCCGGUUGCUUGUAUGAUACUCUUUUUCUUUGCAAAACCAAGUACAGAACCCUACCCCUAUUAGGGCAUGCGAGAGACUAAGGCCUUGUUUAGUUCCAAACUUUUUUGGGCCAAAAGCAAAAUAUUUUGUGUUUUUGCAUUUUGGAAGUAAAUGGGGUCAAAAAAUUUUGGCCUUAAACUGUGCAGUCCCAAACUGAGGUAUUAAAUACGGGUUAUUUGUGUCUCUGUUUUGCAAAAUGUUUUGGAACUAAACACCAAAACCAAAACAUUUUGGUGUUAGAUUUUUAGUGGGUUGUUUAGGUUUUGGGGUUUUUGCAAAAAAAUUCCAAAAACUAAACAAGGCGACCAGCAAAUCUCGGCACAGAUGAAGUCACAAUAGGUGUUAUUGACGGACACAUAAGAAAAUAUUCUGAAAAAUGCAAGCACGCGUGCUAUGUCGAUGAUUUCAGUCCAAGUGGACAAGUUUCAUUGCAUGGAACGUUACCAAAUGAGGUAUACUGUCAGUUCGCACAUUGCACAGAUUUUAACAUAACUUAAGGGAUUACUAAAAUGACAAAUGUAGUCAUCGAUUAAACCUUAUUGAUUUGUUUCUCCUAGAGUAAUGAAUUAUUUUUAAACAAUCUCUGCUAAACCUGAUCAUGGCCAUCAUGUAUCGAGGAUGCCUUAUAUUUCAAUAUCAAAUGCAACAUUGUAAUGUAGGAUGUACGGAGUAGUCUACAAAUGCAACAUUGUAAUAUGUUAGCAUUUGGUACAACGGGAGCAAACAAAUAUUUCUGUGCAUUAAUGACUUUAAUUAUACAUUUUAAUAGUAUAGGUGAAGACAUACUCAUACAAAUAAAGGAAGUCGUUUUAUAAGUCUAACUUUGACUCCUUGUUUUUAUAAAAAUAUUUAUCAAAAAGUGGUAUUUGUAUAUUUUAUAGGAAUUAUUUUUCAAGAUAAUCUAUUUAUAUGAUUUUUAUAUUUCCAAACUCAAUAACUUAAAAGUUAUUUAUGAUUUAUAUUUUCAUUGUUUGACACAAACCUUGUCCAAAACGACUUUCUUUACGAGUAUAAAGGGAGUAUGAACGUUUUAUAUGCACUUUCAUUAUUUUAAUACUUAUUGGGGAUUGGCAGCCAUAAUUAUGGUUGUUCACAAUCCUCUCAUUUUAAUUCUCCUGUAAUUUUGUUUGUAGGGCCGAAAGGAUGGCAAUUGGUGGUUGAAAGUUGGAAGCUAUGUUUUGGGCUAUUGGCCACCGUCCAUCUUCACCAACUUGGCAAACAGUGCCGAGUCUAUCCAGUGGGGUGGUGAGGUGUACUCGCCUAACCCUGCUUCCCAAACUUCGACAGACAUGGGCAGUGGACACUUCCCUGAGGAAGGGUUUGGCAAGGCUAGCUACAUCAGGAACAUCCAAGUGGUAGAUUCGUUCAACAGUCUCAUAUCGCCAAAUGAUGUGGCCUUGGGAGGUGCGCAACGCAACUGCUAUCGAGUCCUAAAUGGUACAGCAAGAAAUUGGGGCACUUACAUCUUCUAUGGAGGACCCGGGAAGAAUCCUAACUGCCCAUAGCAAAAAAAAAAAAAUGCAUCGCUUUUAGAGUGCAAACAUCUCCACGGCACAGGCAAGUAGGGUUUUGUGUGUGACCAGGCACCCAAUAAAUAAUUUUAUUGUCUAUAUAUACUUGUGAAUGCAUAUUCGUUGUAAUGAUCAGUUGGACAGUUGCUAUGUGUGUUUGCAUUUUUUUUAUUUGCAUCUGGUGUGAACAAGCAUUAGAAGGAUGCAGUGGAUCACAUAUUCAUGUGUGAACACAUGUUUAGGAAGAGGAACAAGCUGCAUCCUUUAUUUAUGUUACCUUACAAAAGUAUACAACACUCAUCCUUGAGCGAAGGCGGUCAUGAUUUUUCAAAAAGCGAAGGCGGUCAUGCUCUGAAGAAGGCAAAGAGCCGUGGAAAAGUUCGUUAUGCUGAUAUAGUUGACGGUCAUGAUCGUGCUUAGUUUAUUAUCAUCACUAAAGUCAUCCAGAGAAGUAACACUGUAGGAGAUGUCAUGCAAUAGCUGAUGUCACGCCGCAGGCACCCUACGAUGCAACCGCAAAGUCAUAGAGAUCACGCCUCCUGAUUUUUAUGAGUUUCUAAAACAUUAGGCUUUGUCAGCUAGGAUUCGAACACGGGACCUCUUGCCUUGCAUAUACAAUUUUCUUUCACUACAACAAAGUCACUUAUGAAAAAAGAUAUGAUGUUGUCCCUAUGAAUUAACAUGCAUGAAUCAUGUAUUUGUUAUUUUAGAUUGUAAAUGAUCUUAGAUAUAAAAUAUUUAAAUACAAAGUUUUAGAUCUCGUCAGGCAGUACUACAACAUUGAUAUAGGUUGUGUCAUCAUCCGAGAUCAUUUGAAAAUUUAAAAUUUGAAGUUUAAAAUCUGCAUAAAUGGGCUGUUAAAUGAGCUCAAAUGAAAGUCUUUGACUACAUGAUUUUAGACGUGGUUCAUCUCUCCAACUUUCAUAUAAAUUUUGUGCUUGUCUGACCUAAUUUUAAAGAGGUUAUAUUUUACCUUCAAAAAAGAGGUUAUAUUUUAUUUGUUCUGAAGCAAUUUUAUAGUGUGAUUGACUAUGAAAAAUGUGUUUGUGGGGUGCUUGACUAAGUCCAAAACCUCUAGAAAUUGAGCAAAUAAUUUUAUUGAGAUCACUGAAGAAUAACUGCCUGGGUAUGGUAUCGGAAGAAACUUCCGGUUCAGGGGAUACAAGUGGAAUAAAAAAGAAGUGAUGGGUUAAUAUAAUUGAGAAGGCAAGAAAAUUGGUCCGUGAUGGAAGUAUGGAGUUCCUGUAACUCAAGCUAGGUCAGAUAUCAAUAUAAUCACCUAGUAUUUUUUUUAUAACCCAUGUAAUAAUAUGAUUGGGUCUAAUUAAAAAGGAUCAACGUCUUUUGCCCGCAAGAACAAGUUACGAGACCAGGUUGCCAUGAUGCAUGCCAGCCUUUCUGUACCGUUCAAAUCUGGUUUCAGGACGUAUGUGUCAGCAAUGAAUGAAAAUAAUUAAUUAAUGACAACAGCCGGAUAGGAACAUGAACAUUGUAUCCGUUGACGCGCCCAAAUUCCUCCCGAUCGAGUUUCCUUUCGAUCCACGACUGCAGCAUUAUAUCAGCAUGCAUGCAUGCACAACGAAUUCGUAUAUGUCAUAUGCAUGCAUGAUUGUUACUUGUGUGUGUGUAUAAUAAAGAACAAGUAGCAGAUAGUGAGCUGCACGUCCACUUCAACAUGGGAAAAUACGAAAUUGCGUGCUUUAUUUCCUCGAAGACUUGGACCAGGUAAGUCUCUCCACAACUUGACGCACGGGUCCAAGAUUAAUUUUUUAAGACUAUCUCCAACAAUCGUUAUCCAAAAUAUAAUACCCAUUUGUCCUUUGGGUAGUGCUACAGGUAAAAAGUUAUAUACCUAUUUUUAGUCUUUGUUGGGGAACGGCUGCAUCCUUCCCCCUGGUAGCGUCGGAGGUUAUCCUUCACCUGAGGAACCUCUGACGCCUAAAGCGUCGGAGGAUACCCUUCGACGGGAAAUGCUAAUGUUGACGACUCGUCUGGUCGUGCUAAGUGUGUGCAGGGACUGAGACACCGGCGGAGGUCCACGAGCGAGGAAAGGUGGGAACCUCCGACCCUCCCGGGUCCGAGGAUGGCGGGAGAACGCAGCCAGGCCGAGGAACCUCCGACUGAACCAGGCCAAGGAGGAACUCCCGGGGUGGCCGGGUCGAGCAACCUCCGGCCCAGCCGAGCUGAGGAACCUCCGACACCAAAGCGUCGGAGGAUCCGCAACCGGGCGGAGGAUCCAAGCCUCCGACCAGCUGAGGCCCCAGUCAGAGGAUGAACGAAGGGCUUGCAAUGUGAAAUUACGCAGGUGUAUCAGGGUCAGUAGACUGCGAUGAAAGAAUAUACCGGAAUAUUCCCCCACCGUCACGGGGCAUUUGUGUAAAUGUCAUUAGGUCGGUUUGCAGGCCCUAUAAAAGGGGCGCGAUACCGCCAUUAAUAGAGAGAGAGAGCAUUCACUGUUUUCACCUACUACUGAGCCUACUGUCCGUUCGAGCUCAAACCUCUCACGGCACCGAGUGAGAAGGUUCACGGUUCACCGUACUGCUGGGGAGUGCGGAGGGCAUCUCCCCAACAUUGGCGCCCACCGUGGGGCACGAAGUAUAACCUGCGAUGGCUGGAAAGAGAACAAGCACCACAAGACCUCGGGCAGAGCCCUCCAGGAGAGGAAGGCCGAGGAGGGCCGUGCGGAGCACGUACGCGGCCGUGGAGGGAGAAGGUCCUGAGGGCGGGCAGCCAGAGAACGAGCAGCCGGAAACACACCAGGAACCUCCUCCCGCCGCGGGCCCGACACAACCCACGGCCACGCAAGAGCUCCAGCAGCUGCAAACGCAGUUGCAGAACCUUCAGCAAGAGCGAGACCGGAUCACUGCUGCCUACGCCGCCAGCCAAGAAGCAGCGGUGGCCGCGACGCAAGCGGCCGAGAUCAGGCAGCAGCUUUCACUUCUGCAGGCAGAAAUCCUCAGCAUGCAACCUCCACCUCAGCCGACGAUCCAGCCCGCUGUUCUGACCAGCGCCGGCCCGACAUUAGAUGUGCAACCAGCAGACUACGGUGGCAUGCUGCGGGGCACGUUGGACCUUCGUUCCCCCUUGUCCGAAGGAUUGCAGACCUCGCCUUGGCCAACAACCUACAAACCUAUCACGCUCCCUAAAUUCAGCGGAAAGGCAGACCCGCGCCAAUUCCUGAUGAGUUUCGAGGCAGCCGUGGCCUCAGCUGGAGGGAAUGAAACUGUGAUGGCAAAAUCCUUCGUGAUCGCAGCCGAGGGAGAUGCCUUGGCGUGGUACUCGAUGCUCAGACCCGGGUCGAUCUAUUCAUGGGAGAACCUUCGAGACAAGAUUUUAGCGAAUUUCCAAGGAUUCGCGGUUGAAUCACUAACCUCCACGGACCUGUUCCAGUGUCGUCAGAAUCAGGGAGAGGCACUGCGGGAGUACUUCCAAAGGUUCGUGCAGACUAAGGCGAGAGCACCCGGUGUGCCGGAGGAGGUUGCCAUUGAAGCGGCCAUCAAGGGUCUUCGCAUAGGGCCCUUCGCGGCUCAUUUGGCCAGAGAAAAGCCAGCAUCCAUGCACGAGCUGUACCACGAGUUUGAGAAGUAUUGCAGGUCAGACAACGACUACCGCAAAAGGUUGGAAGACCAAAACUCUCAGAAGAGGCAGAGCAAUGAUAGAAAUUCACAGAAGAAGAACCUCAGCCAGGAUGAACGCCGGCCGCAGCGAGAGGCUGGUGGGCAGAUGAUGAAUAUCGAGCAACCGAAAAAUGACAGGCCGGGAAAUAACCGUCCACCAGCGGAAGCGCGAAGCUCGGAAUGCAUACCCAAUCAAGCCGGAAGAGGGGAUCGAAAUGCGGGAUGGCGAAAAAAUCAAAGUCAGCGACCACGGAAACAGUAUUGCUUCUUCCAUGGAGAGGAGAAGGGUCACUCCACCAGAGAUUGCCCAGAUGCAAAAGAAACUUAGGAGAGGAUCAAGAGCAGGUCAGCUCCGCAACCUCCGAUACCAGUUGCUCAACCUCGGGAAGUAAAUCACACAUUCCCUCAAACCUUCUACCAUUCAUACGUCGGAGGUUCAAGCCAGCAGCACCCAGCUCCACUUCAGCCCAGCGCGCUAGCCUCCGCUUACUAUCCCAGCUUCCUACCAGCUUGGCGUCCAGCCCAGGAAACCGCGGACCACAACCUUCCACCAAACUAUGUUCCUCCACGACCUCCACAUAUUACGUACAUCGAAAACCCGCAACCCUGCCAGCAGUCACUACCUCCUCCCCUAAACCAGCUACAGCUACUCCAAGCCCCACCACCACCAAAAACCGAACCCCACCCCGAUAAUCAGAUCGACUCCUGGACGCAAAGGUCAUCAGAGAAGUCAUGUACCCGGAAUGGUUGGCAAACGUAGUCCUGGUCUCCAAGAAAAAUGGCAAAAUAUGGAUGUGCAUAGAUUUUACGGAUCUCAACAAGGCUUGUGUCAAAGACUCCUUCCCCUUGCCAAGGAUAGAUACCUCUGUGGACAAAGCAGCUGGUUGUCAGAGAUUCUCACUGCUGGACUGUUUCUCCGGAUACCACCAAAUUUGGCUCAAAAAAGAAGACGAAGGAAAGGCAAGCUUCACAACCCCAUUCGGCACGUAUUGCUACACCAGAAUGCCAGAGGGCCUCAAAAACGCUGGAGCAACCUUCUCCAGAAUGAUGGGGAAGGUUCUAGGAAGUCAGCUGCAGAGAAACAUUAUAGCAUACGUCGACGACGUUGUCGUCAUGAGCAAACGCAAGGAGGAUCAUAUCAAGGACCUUCAGGAGACCUUUGUAAACCUUAGAUCUGCCGGACUGAAACUCAACCCGGAGAAAUGUGUAUUCGGGGUCAGCAAGGGAAAAAUGCUGGGAUAUAUCAUCAGCUCCGAAGGAAUCAGAGCUAACCUAGACAAGACAAAAGCAAUCAUGUCAAUGGCAGAACCUUCAAACAAGAAAGAAGUGCAAAGGCUGACUGGCCGAAUAGCAGCCCUCAAUAGAUUCAUCUCAAGAUCGGCAGAACGGAGCCUCCCAUUCUUCAAAGUGUUGAGAGGAGAAGGUAAAACAGAAUGGGGUCCGGAACAAUCAGAGGCCUUCAGGCAUCUCAAGAAUUACAUUGCAACCAACCUGGUGGUAACAGUGCCUGAGCCAGACACCCCACUACUACUGUAUGUGGCUGCCUCCGACCACGCUGUCAGUGGUGUCCUGGUGCACGAGACAAGCGACAAUAAGGGAACGGUGCAAAGACCCGUUUACUACGUAUCUGAAGCUCUGUCAGGAGCAAAGCUGAACUACACGGAGAUAGAAAAAAUCGCGUACGCGGUCCUGUGUGCAUCGAGAAAGCUCAAGCAUUACUUCCAAAGCCAUGAGAUUAAAGUGCCCACUUCACAGCCAUUGGGUGAUGUCCUUAGGAACAAAGAGGCUUCCGGACGUAUAGGAAAAUGGGCGGCCGAACUAUCACAGUUUGACAUCACCUAUGUCCCCAGAACCUCCAUCAAAUCUCAAGCCCUGGCUGACUUCAUGGCAGAUUGGACACCUUCGAACAAAAACGAGGAGAAGGUAAUCGAUCAGCCGUGGACGCUGUAUACAGAUGGCGCCUGGGGGCAAGCGGGAGCAGGAGCAGCAGCCGUUCUAAUCGCACCAUCUGGACUCAAACUAAAGUUUGUUGUACGACUCGAAUUCAAAGCAACAAACAACAUAGCUGAGUAUGAAGGUCUCAUCCUCGGGCUGAACAAAGCUAAGGCUUCGGGAGCAAAAACCCUACUCAUCAAAACAGACUCCCAAGUGGUGGCAGGGCAAGUGGAGAAGGAAUACCUAGCACACAACCCGGAGCUAGCAAGGUAUCUGGCCGUCGUAAGAGGCCUGGAGAGAAGGUUCAAGGGAUUCACUCUGCAGUACAUUCCAAGAGCCGAAAACUACGAGGCAGACGAGCUAGCGAAAGCAGCAGCCAACAACACCCCCUUGCCAGAAGGAACCUUCCACCAGAUUGUUGCAACACCCGCAACCGAAACGUUGCCAAAAGCCUUUCGCUCAGUCCUGCUGACAGAAAGCGAAGAUUGGAGGCAGGCAAUAGCCGAUUGCCUCAAAGGCGAGACAGCUGUAGAUGACGAAGCAACAGCCAAGAGGAUGGAGGCAAGAGCAAGGAAUUACACCUCCAUUGACGGGAUCCUGUACAAGAAAGGCGUAGUCCAACCUUUGCUGAGGUGCAUAUCACAAAGCGAGGGCAGAGAACUCCUACAAGAGAUACACUCCGGGAUGUGCGGGUCUCACAUUGGACCUCGCGCGUUGUCUGCUAAAGCAUUAAGACAAGGCUUCUACUGGCCAACUCACAUUAAAGAUGCUGAAGAAAUAGUGAAGACAUGCAAAGCCUGCCAAACCUUCUCACCAAUUCAGUCAGGACCUUCAGCACUAACUCAGCUCAUACCAGCAUCAUGGCCGUUGCAGAGAUGGGGAAUGGACCUGGUAGGACCAAUGCCAACUGCCCAGGGGGGAAACAAAUUCACCGUCGUGGCCAUCGAAUACUUCACAAGAUGGAUCGAGGCUAAGCCACUGGCAACCAUAACCUCUGAAACAAUCAGGAAAUUUUUCUGGCAGAACAUAGUCUGCAGAUUCGGAGUUCCACGCUUGCUCACAGUUGACAACGGGAAGCAGUUUGAUUCAGACAGUUUCAAGGAAUUCUGCCAUCACAUAGGAACCAAAAUUGCUUUCGCGUCUGUUUAUCACCCAGAGUCAAACGGGGCCGUGGAGAGAGCAAACAGAACAAUAUUCUCCGCAAUCUCCAAGACCUUACUCAACCUACGCAAGGGGAAAUGGGUGGAAGAACUACCAAGAGUUGUAUGGUCACAUAACACAACAGUUUCAAGAACAACUGGGUUCACUCCAUUCAAGCUCUUGUAUGGGGAAGAGGCAAUGUUGCCCGAAGAAAUCAAGCAUCAAAGCCUGCGUUCCAUGAAGCAGCAGUUGGCUGAAGAUGAAGAGUACUGCAAGGAAACCUUAGAAUCAAUAAGACUUGAGGCAGUGGAGAACAUUACCAGGUAUCAACAAGAAACCAAGAAUUGGAGAGACCGCAAGGUAGUACGAAAAGACAUACAAAAUGGGGACCUGGUGCUCAGGAAAAAAGGAGAUCACCCAAACGCUGGUAAAUUGCAACCCAAGUGGGAAGGACCUUACACAGCAAUACAAGCGGGAAGGUCGGGAUCCUUCUACCUGAAAGACCUCGAAGGUAGAACCUCCACCCACACGUGGAACAUCGACAAUCUACGUAGAUUUUACAUUUGAGUGUAAGGAUGACCCCUGCAAAAUAAGCGGCGGCAUCCACAUCCCUAAAUACGCUUGUUUUCUUUUUCUCUACUUUUUCGCAUUCCAAGGUCUGCACUCUUUUCCUCACAGGGGUACUCCUACCAGGAGGUGAGGUUUUUAACGAGGCAGAACCUAUGUAAAAACCUCUGAAAUAUAAAGAGGAAUCCACCCCAGAACCAAAGCCCAAAAAGUCGAAAAACAGCCAGCAACGAGGCUGUAGCAUUCGACAAAACAUCACGUGAUCACAAGGACCCUCCGCAGCUUUCAUCCAAAAGAUAAGAAAGCUCGGAACGUCCUCAAAGGUGAAAAAACACCAAAUCCUUAGCAAAAGACCUAACCAAGAGCCGGGCAGCAAGGAUAACAUGGCCAAAAAGUGAAAAAGUCCUGUCCUCCUCAGGCAUCACAACAUGGCCAGAAGGAACAAAACCUUCAAACCUGACAAAGACCUGAGGAGAAUCAGGCAUCAGGAACUAUAUUAUAUUUGCCAAAAGGCAGCGGAGGUUUACCAUUCACAAUACAGACAUCAACAAAAUUCACAUAACCUUCACCAAAAUAAGGUCGAAGGUAUCCUGCUACUCUAAGCAGACCCCCAACAAACAAAGUGUGAAAUUAAAACAAAACUACAAUAACCCUCAGUCAGGUACAGCAAAACCAACUACCGCAACAACCAUCAAUAACCCAACAAUAAAUUUUUACCUAACUAAGUACAUAAAAUAAAUGCAUGAAAGCCUAUAAAACCAGGCUCACCCUGCCCCCACCCUCAAUCAGGAUCAGUAUACAAAGACCCGAGCAUCGAGUACAAACCUAGCAGUCAAAAAGCAAAAAUUCUAGGCCACCAUGGAAGCAGGAGUUAGCCUCACAACAGCAACAAAAGUUUGUAUCGCACGAAGCUUCGUAAUACUAGAACUGCGGCGUUAUGAUGAACAUCGACCACAAAGUCGUGUUCAGCCACAACAGAAACAAUAGAAGUCAGACUCAGAGGUCUCUGAAGGGUAUCGCACGAAGUCUCGUAACGUCCCUUCAGAACCUCCGACUCAGAUACCCGAAGGUUCCCCUCGACAACACUCCACGGGAGUCGAGCAAAGGAAAAAAAUAGCACAAUUCAGCGGAGGCUCCUUCGCACCAAUAAAGUCGAAGGUUCUAAAGCCAAGAAGCGGCGAUCCUCCGCACAAGGAAAAAUCAACAACACCUUCGCAACAUCGAGCACCAAGCACAAGCAGGCCACAGCAACACAAAGAUCCUUAGGAUCAACACCACCGUGACGUUGCAAUGUAUAAAUGCUGUAGCGCGCAAUGUAUAAAUGCUGUAGCGCGAAGGUUGUAAUAAAAAUGAGAUCGAAGGUUGUAGCAAACUUAAAAACUUUAUUAUUGAUGAACAAAUCAUUACAAAAGAACAGUUACAAGGAAAGAAUAAAAUUAUCCUUCGACCCAUAAAAAGUCGAAGGUUAUAGGUAGCUUGUACAAAUCCAACAUUCAAAUCCUCUGUCGACUAAACAACCGAAGGAUCUAUGAGUCACGUACAAAUCUCAUGCAUGAGUCACCAAAAACCCUAAAAUCACUACAAUAAUCCCGUGCGAGAUAAUCAACCAAAUCGUCAACAUUAAGCGAAGGACGCGUAGCUCUCCACCAGUCUAUUAACCAACCACUUGCAUACAAGUCGCCACGCUUGAACGUCAAUGGCGUCACAUAGCUUCCUUCGACAAAACGCGGAGAAAGAACACAUUCAGGAGGGGAAAGAACAACCUGCGCAGAAAAUCCAAGUCAAAAAUCACUGAACCAAGCGAAGGACUCAAACUUAUCAAAAAACCAAAGUCUCGAACCUCCACACGCCCAGGCAGGUAACGCUCAUACACAUCAGGCCCCUCCAGCCAAAAAGAUUCCUCAAUCUCCUCUCCAAAUAUGCGAAGGAUAGGAUACUUCAACUGCAUAAACACAUCAAACCAAGUCAUAAAAAAAAAGAGAAAAACACAAAUAGCCUACGGCAAGGUAGAAACAAAACAAAAACCACCACCUAAGCCGGAGGCCAUGAACCUCGGCGCGCAAGCGACUGGAUAAAUCCAGAUCCUUCGCCAUCAAUAUCAUAUCCAACAAACUCGAACAUAUCCACCAAUCUCAUGUUAGGGAAGGCAACUCGCCAGUACUCCCACAAUUCGCCAGAAGCAUAAAUCCCUUUGUAAAAAAUCGAAAGGGGAGUAAUGAAAUGAUCCUGCGCAGGUCCUCCGCCAGAGACCUGCGCAGAAUCAAAGUGUAAAACAAAGGCUUAUCUGAAAACAACUUAAUAUAUUACAUCCUCAACAGUCUGUACAAAAUAAGCAAGACCUCCGGCCUUAUUUACAAAAAGCGUCACAUGCUUGGACGCAAAAAAGACUAGUAAAAACCUAAAAACUAACAAGCCUCACACCUGAGGCGGAGGAGGAGCAGAAGUCUCGGGCAACUCUGAAACCUUGGCACCAGAUCCCUCCGGAGCUUUGGCACCAGCAUCACGAGCCUCCGCUUCAGCCUGGGUCGGAGGACGCGCCUCGCUUGGUGGACGCGAAGGACCGGCCUUGUCAACCUUAGCCUUCUUCUUCGUAAUCUCCUACAAAGUACCCAUCUUAAGUAACAUUGCAAAGCAGCAAAGCAAAAUACAAAAAGAAAAAAACCAAAUCAAGAAUACCUCAGCGCGACGAGCCUCCGCCAUCUUCUUCGCCUCAGCCCGCCCAAACCUAAUCCAGAACGAACUGAUAAAGUUCCGGACAGAUUUGCGCAGGCCGGGGGUGCCCUCGCCAACGUCCUCCGCCGUGGCAAACUCCACCUUAUCAACCCCCUCGGCGUGGGAGCAACCUCCGCGCCGCAAAAGCCGAGCGAAGGAGCUAACCGCAGCCAAAGCCCCAAAAUCAACAGCUCCUCCGACAAAGUCAGGGAGCAUGCGAAUAUGGGACUUCAACCACGCGAGGCUAGCCCCAACGUCGCCGCUGGGCGGAGGAGCAGAGGUGCUACCUCCGAACUGUGCUAGCGAGUGGGUGUAGAGCCCAACAACAGCGGCAGCCUCCACCUCCGCCUUCUGCAGAUGGGACUGCAACGCAACAGCAGACGUCCUUUCAGCAUCCAACUCCUUGCGCAGCCGGUCAGCAACGUCUUCGGCCUUCUCAGCGCGCUGCACAGCCAGGUCCUUUGUCAGUUCAUGCUGAGAAGCACUCUCGCGAAGGACAGCCGCAGCAGCUUCAGCCUCCUCCUUCUCCUUCUUAAAAACCUCCGACGCAGUCUUAAACUCUUCCUUCUCCUUCCUUAGCACCUCAACCGCCUGCCGAAUAGAAGCAAAUCCCUUAACUUCCUCCGACAGGCGAGCCUUCUCAGCCUCCAAAGUUUCAUUUUCCUUUUUAAGAGCCUCAAUUGCUUCAUCACGGCAAAUAACCUCUCGGGAGCACCGCUCCUCUAAGGCAGCAGCCAUGUGAUGACCCUGCCCAAAAACAACACACAUGAAACCUCCGAAUAAAAAACGGCGAAGGAAAAUACAACACAUCACAAACAUACAAGGCUAUGGUGCUCAUAUUGCACGCGGAGGAGCGUGUCAAAGUCCAUGCCGCGGAGCUUCUGACGAAAACGAUCUGUAAAGCAAAAACAAGUAAGAAAAAACAUCGUAAGAACCAUAAAACCUUUGGCGGAGGCCAGACAACGAACCUCCGACCAAGGAAUGAACCUCGCGCAAAGCACCAGUCCAACCUGUGAUCGAAGGAUCAGAAGCACCUGCGCAAAAACAAAACAAACCUUAGAAUAAAAUACCAAAAAACAAACCAAUGGAUAGAACAAAAAAUAAGAAACUUACCGGGACCAAGUACAUCAGCAGGCGAAGGCCUGUUGGCCAACGCGGAAGGCGCAGGCUCACGCCGCGGAGGAACGGCAAGUCCUUCCUGCGCAACGCUGGCGCCUUUUGCCAUCUCCUCCGCGGUAGCCAACCCAGCAAAAAGAUCCGCUGAAAGAUAUACAAAAAACAUGAGACCAAGUCAAUCAAAAUAUGCAUAAAAACACAUAAUCAACAAAAAAUCAUUACCCAUGUACAACGAAUUAAUACCGUCACCAGCCGGACGAAGGGGAGCCUCCGCCCUCCUGAUCCUCCGAACAGAGGCGGACUCAGCUUCAUCGCUGGACUUCACCUGAAUCUCCUUAGGCGGGGAACCUCCUCCAGCAGACACCUCACGUGCAGGACUCGCCUGCCGUGCAGGACUCACCUCCCGUGCAGGACUCCCCCUAGGGGCCUCCGCGUCGGAGGAAUCCUCACCAAGAAGCGACGCAAAAGGCGCCCGCACAGACGAGGCCGCACGAGAAGCCUGAACCUCAGGACCUCCGCCAGCAGCGACGGUCUCCGCAGGAGUAGAAGCCACCGAGUUCGACUCGGCAGCAGAAGAUCGCGCGGAAGAAGACUCCACAGGAGUCUCCAGCACAACACCCGCCUUGCGCUUCUUCGCAAGCUGCUUGACUGCGCCUCCCCCUUUCCUCUUCUUUGACUCCGCCAAAGCAACAGCCUUGGAAGAGUCCUUCUUCUUCUCCAAUCCAAGCAACACAUCCGGAGGAAUAACAUAAUCCUCAUACUCGAUCCCCAAUUCCUCAAAAACACGGUUGAAGCGGGGCAUCGUCCCGAGCGCAGACCUCCGCUGGAGAUAUUCCUUCUCCGAGAUCUUCCCGACGAUCCUCCGAGCAGAAACCUCCACGCGAUCAAGAAAGGACUCCUUGGUCUCAUCCUCCGGAAGACCCGCGCCAAACCGGGGAAACGGUAACCCCUCCGGAGGACCAAACACAGGGACUUGCACCAUCUCAAUGGUGAACUCAUCGGUCCUGCGGCCAAGGGGCCAGUAGUCAGCAGCGACCAUCUCCUCAACCAAAUCCCGGCCUCCGGAAUAUCGGCAUGCCAGCGCAAAUGCCUUAUCACAGGCCAGUCGUUCCUCCGACAUUUCCUGCGAAGGAUCAACCUUCGAGAAAGGCUUCAGCUCCUUCAUCAACGACGCGUAAGGAUAAACCUUAUCAACGCUGCCAUCAUCUAAAGUCCUCGACGCAGCGGGGGUCUUCACGUAGAACCAGGCUCUCAUCCAAUCCUUCUCCCACUUGCCCUUUUGGCAGUAGGAGAUCUCGCACCUUGGCCCAGGCAUCGUGCGGCGCGGCAUGAACGCGCAGCUUCCAAACUGCGCAAUGCACUCAACACCUUCAGCAUCCUUCACCUUCUUAGGUUGACGCUGAAGUUCAAAAUACGCGCAGAAAGUAUCAAUGUGGGGCACGGCUCCGUAGGAUUCACACGCCCAGGCAAAUUUGCUAAGGGUUAGUAUCCCAUUGGGGCUGAAAUGCUGUAGCUCCACGUUAAAACUCUCCAUCACUUCGCGAAGGAAAUGAUACGGAGGCAUCCGAAGCCCGCAGGUGAAGAAAUCCCUAAAAACCACCGCAUAACCUUCCCCAGGCGCAGGCACCGUUUGACCCGCAGGAGGAGCCUCCGCCCGACCAUCCUUGAAAAAUCUAGCCUCAACCAUAUCGGCGAUAUCCUCCGUCCUCACAGUCGACUGCCCAAACUCAAAGGUAAUCGCCGCCAUCUCCUCAAACUCCUUCGCACUGAUCAGAUCACCAACAGAAGCUUCGACGUCGGACAACGUCUCCUCCAGGUCUUGAGCUGCUGCCACCUCAAGCAUCCACUCCUCAAACCUCCGCGACCAACCACCGGACCUCACACUAAGAAAAUUACGCAAAGGACCAGAAAAAUCUGACCUUGAAGGACGAGGCGAAGGAAAAUGAGCCACUUUAUAGCCUCCGCAAACACUUAAGAGCUAUACGCAACUAGAGCGAAUGCAAGUGGGCGAAGGAAGAAGCGCAAACAACAGGCAGCAAGGGUGAGACCCAAGAGCCUCCCCAAUGCCCUUUUAUAGGGGGGGGCCUGCGGCAACGUGACCGUUGCGAUUCCCCGCGCCCAACGGCUAUAAGCGGAGGAAUCGGCCCGACCGUUGCGCCUCGUCAAUGCCAACGGCUACCUCCAACGGCUAUAAUAUCCUCCGCAAUCCUCCGCAAUCUAACGCGCGUAGGAUAUCAGACUAACAUAGCAACAAUGAUCGGAGGAUCCCGGCAAAAUAAAUAAACCAAGAAAAUUUAUGACUAAGUAAAAGAAACAAUUAUCCAACAUUUGCUAACAAACACAUCCUGCGCACCAGGGGGGAAGGCAGCAACCAUGCUCAUAGUCUCCGCAGCGUAGCAUGUUUUUGAGCACAUGGACCGCAGGAGUGCCAUUAGCCCAAAAAGAGGGGAACUGUUGGGGAACAGCUGCAUCCUUCCCCCUGGUAGCGUCGGAGGUUAUCCUUCACCUGAGGAACCUCCGACGCCUAAAGCGUCGGAGGAUACCCUUCGACGGGAAAUGCUAAUGUUGACGACUCGUCUGGUCGUGCUAAGUGUGUGCAGGGACUGAGACACCGGCGGAGGUCCACGAGCGAGGAAAGGUGGGAACCUCCGACCCUCCCGGGUCCGAGGAUGGCGGGAGAACGCAGCCAGGCCGAGGAACCUCCGACUGAACCAGGCCAAGGAGGAACUCCCGGGGUGGCCGGGUCGAGCAACCUCCGGCCCAGCCGAGCUGAGGAACCUCCGACACCAAAGCGUCGGAGGAUCCGCAACCGGGCGGAGGAUCCAAGCCUCCGACCAGCUGAGGCCCCAGUCAGAGGAUGAACGAAGGGCUUGCAAUGUGAAAUUACGCAGGUGUAUCAGGGUCAGUAGACUGCGAUGAAAGAAUAUACCGGAAUAUUCCCCCACCGUCACGGGGCAUUUGUGUAAAUGUCAUUAGGUCGGUUUGCAGGCCCUAUAAAAGGGACGCGAUACCGCCAUUAAUAGGGAGAGAGAGAGCAUUCACUGUUUUCACCUACUACUGAGCCUACUGUCCGUUCGAGCUCAAACCUCUCACGGCACCGAGUGAGAAGGUUCACGGUUCACCGUACUGCUGGGGAGUGCGGAGGGCAUCUCCCCAACAGUCUUCUCCAACAACAAGACCUAAAAGACAACACUCUCUGCAAAUAGGUCUCAAGGAGAGAGGAUACCCAAAUUUGGGUUAUGCCUCUCCUGAUACCCAAAAUGGGUCUUCUGUAUGGGUACUCUGUUGAAGGCUAUAGGUAUUGUGUUGGAGACCCAUUUUAGGUUUGGGUUCCCAAAUAGGUCUCCUAUUGGAGACAGCCUAAAGACGUUAUAAUUUGUACUAUUAUUGGACUGAGAUAUAUACAUUGUUGCCUAGCCAAACGCGGUGCACUCGUGAAGUAUUGGAGAUAUAUAGGAUCUUGAGAGUAAAAAAUGUAGUCGCAAAAGAGAUAUGACCAGGAUCGAACGUCGCAUCGUCCGGCCACUCCGUUCCACCACCCAGCCGAUAUGGACUAUACUUGUGGGUGGAACUGACCAAAUUUUCCACACGGUCCUGACCACGUCGACGUCUCCUUGUGGCGAGAAGCAAUCUCAAACAUGUUCAAUAGUAGAGGAUGUCCGGCAUGGCAAUGCAUGCGUGCAAUUGGUCGGAAGGAAAGGAGGGUUUGGAACUUUGGAUCUCUUUUCCCUAAACCCUAACCGUGUGUUUGGUUGGAGAGCGGGGCGAGCCGGGUCGGAGCGAACCCAUUCCUGUGGCUGUUUGGUUGGAGGAUGGGAGGGUUGGGUUGGCUCCAGGGUGGAAUAUUCCUCUCAGAUGCGGGUUGGACUCAUCCGUCAAAAUCUGGCGAACGGAGCCGCUCCAGCCGGGUUGGCUCCCACCAAACACUAGAGAUCACGAGUCCUGAUAUUAGAAUUUCUAAAACAUUAGGCUUUGUCAGCUAUGAUUCGAACACGGGACCUCUUGCCUCGCAUGUACAAUUUUCUUUCACUACAACAAAGAGUCACUUAUGAAAAAAGAUAUGAUGUUGUCCCUAUGAAUUAACAUGCAUGAAUCAUGUAUUUGUUAUUUUAGAUUGUAAAUGAUCUUAGAUAAAAAAUAUUUAAAUACAAAGUUUUAGAUCUCGUCAGGCAGUACUACAACAUUAAUUGAUAUAGGUUGUGUCACCAUCCGAGAUCAUUUGAAAACUUAAAAUUUGAAGUUUAAAAUCUGCAUAAAUGGGCUGUUAAACGAGCUUAAAUGAAAGUCUUUGACUACAUGAUUUUAGACGUGGUUCAUCUCUCCAACUUUCAUAUAAAUUUUGUGCUUGUCUGACCUAAUUUUAAAGAGGUUAUAUUUUACCUUCAAAAAAGAGGUUAUAUUUUAUUUGUUCUGAAGCAAUUUUAAAGUGUGGUUGACUAUGAAAAAUGUGUUUGUGGUGUGCUUGACUAAGUCCAAAACCUCUAGAAAUUGAGCAAAUAAUUUUAUUGAGCUCACUGAAGUGAUGAGUUAAUAUAAUUGAGAAGAAACUGGUCAACGGAAGAAACUGCCGAUGCAGGGGAUACAAGUGGAAUAAAAAAGAAGUGAUGAGUUAAUAUAAUUGAGAAGGCAAGAUAAUUGGUCCAUGAUGGAAAGUAUGGAGUUCCUGUAACUCAAGCUAGGUCAGAUAUCAAUAUAAUCACCUAUGAUUUUUAUAACCCAUGUAAUAAUAUGAUUGGGUCUAAUUAAAAAGGAUCAACGUCUUUUGCCCGCAAGAACAAGUUACGAGACCUGGUUUGCCAUGAUGCCAGCCUUUCUUUACCGUUCAAAUCUGAUUUCAGGACGUAUGUGUCAGCAAUGAAUGAAAAUAAUUAAUUAACGACAACAGCCGGAUAGGAACAUGAACAUUGUAUCCGUUGACGCGCCCAAAUUCCUCCCGAGUUUCCUUUCGAUCCACGACUGCAGCAUCAGCAUGCAUGCAUGCACAACGAAUUCGUAUAUGUCAUGCAUGCGUGAUGCUAUAUAGUAUUUACAUACUGCCAAAUAAAGAACAAGUAGCAGACAGUGAGCUGCACGUCCACUUCAACAUGGGAAAAUACGAAAUUGCGUGCUUUAUUUCCUCGAAGACUGACCUGGUAAGUCUCUCCACAACUUGACGUACGGGUCCAAGAUUAAUUCUUUAACGACGUUAUAAUUUGUACUAUUAUUAUUGGACUGAGAUACAUUUGUUGCCUUGCCAAACGCGGCAACAGCUUGUGCACUCGUGAAGUAUUGGAGUUAUAUAGGAUUUUGUGAGAGUCAAAAGUGUAGUCGCAAAAGAGAUAUGACCAGGAUCGAACGUCGCAUCGUCCGGCCACUCCGUUCCACCACCCAGCCGAUAUGGACUAUACUUGUGGGUGGAACUGACCAAAUUUUCCACACGGUCCUGACCACGUCUCCUUGUGGCGAGAAGCAAAUCUCAAACAUGUUCAUUAGUAGAGGAUGUCCGGCAUGGCAAUGCAUGCAAUUGUUCGGAAGGAAACGAGGGUUUGGAUCUCUUUUCCGUGUGGGAAAUUACUAGAAAAGGAUUUAUAGCAACACAUCUUUUUUUAGGGGCGGCUCAAUCUAAAAGCGUCCCUACAAAUGGUCCCAAAAUGAGCCAUCUCCCUAUAAAUAGAUUUGUAUAUAAAGCUGCUGGUAUUAUCAGGCACUCCUAUAAUAAAUGACCUUAUUUAUAAAGGCGGCUUUAGAUUCAGACGUGCCCUUAUAAAUGGAUGUUGAAUAUUAAAUAUUACAUAUGAAAAUUUGAAAUUUUCAAACAUCCUCGGAUAAAGAAAUGAUCAAAACAAAAAUGCUAUAUCUCAAAAAGUUGACAACGUUUUUAUUUUAAAUCAUCUCAUCAAGAAAAACUACAUUUGAAUUUUAUACAUUUAAAUUCGAUUUUUUUCAAACAUCCUCGGAUGGGAAAACAACCAAAACAAAAGUUUCAGAUCUCAAAAAGUUAUACAAUUUUGCAGUUGACAACUUCUUCAUUUGAAAUUCAUCUUGUCAUGAAAAACUACGUUUCGAUUUCUCACAUUUAAAUUUUGAAUUUUCAAACGACCACGGAUGAAGAAACAGGGAAAACAAAAGUUAUAGAUCUCAAAAAGUUAUAUAACUUUAUAGUUGAGAAUAUUUUUAUUUAAAAAUCAUCUAGCAAAGGAUAAUUAUGUUUUAGUUUCCAACAUUUGAAAUUUGAUUUUUUCAAAAGGGCUCAGAUGGAGAAAAAGCAAAAGUAGAAGUUGUAGAUCUCGAAAGGUUAUACAACUUUUCAAUUGACUACAUUUUCAUUUGCUUUCUUUGAGACUCCCAAAUACUCAUUUUAAAUUUAGUUAUGCAUAACAUGAGGAGAAAGAAUAUAUGCUAUAGACACAGUUUAGCGUCAUGUAGUUGUUAGAGAGUACUACAAUGCAAUGUUGGGGGUCGUCGGUUCGAACCCUUGAAGCCACACGAAACACAUGUUUUUCGCGUUACUUGUGAUCCAGGUGGUGGGGCCUUCUGGGAUUAGAUUUUUUUGCUAUUUUUUCACCCAGAUUAGUAAUUUUUAGAAAAUAAAUUUUAUAGUAGCGGCUCGUUCUUAAGCUGUGCCUAACUACAUAACGAUUCAUUGGGACGGCUGAUCAACUGCUUCUACAAAUCGUUGAUUUGUAAGGGUUGUUUGGCACAGCUCAACUUCACUAGUAAAGCUGUUUUUUUAGAAAAUAACUUCAUGAGUGACUUUCUAGAUGAAGUUGAGCUGUUUUAAAAAAGUGUUUGGCAAAAUAGCUUCACCAACUACUUCAUACAUAGUUGAGAGAGAGAAAUGAGGGAGAAGCUGCAAUAAGCUACUUUUUUCUAGCUUCAUCCAACUUAUGUCUUUGUGAGAGGAGGAGAAAAACAGCUUCACCCAUGAAGCUGUUUUGAAAAUAAGUGUUUGGCAAAAAAAAAAAAGCUCACAAUAGCUUAUGAAGCUGUUGUGAGCUAUACCAAACAGGCCCGUAGUCUCUUAUUAAAUAGGGGCGUCUAAGCCAACCAUCCCUAAAGAGGGUCAAGAGCUGCCCGUUUAAAUCCCGUCCGUAGUAGUAGUGUAGCGGUAAACAUGCCAUUUUUCUUAGUAAGUACUCUACUUUUUAAUAAUUUGUAAAUAAUAACAAAGUUAGGUGAGAUUCAGAAGGAUCAUCUUUACCAAGUAUAAUUAGCUUAAAGGAAUUAAAGACUGUAGUAAAAUGUGCUCUCUACCUAGUCGUCGCUGAUGCCGCGCCCACACACACCCUCUGCGCGCGCCACUGCUGCUGCACCCACCCGCCAUCAUCUGUAUCGUUUGAAGAUGGCAACUGGUAUUACCCGUAUGCCCGCGGGUAAAAACCCGGUAGGGCGAGGGUACGAGUGCAACUUUGUGUCUGUAGUUGUAGGUGUGGGUUUGUAGUUGAACCUAAUGAAUAAAAAAAUUGUACACAUAGAAAACUUAUAGCUGUAUCCGCUUCACCCGAAAACCCGCUCCAACCUCGUGAUACGUAGGUCCCUUCAUAUACUAUAUUUAUAAACAAAGCAACAUAGUUUUAUGAUUUUCUCAUUUGUAUCUAUUUAUAUAUAAGAGAACAAUUUUUAUGUUGAUAUAAUGCUAGGUAGUUUUGAUUUUCAUACUUAAACUCUUUUAAAUCUAUGUAUGUAUUAUUAAUUUAUUAUUAUGUGGUUUUAUGGGUACGCCCAUAGGUAUGGACGUGGGUGUAGAUUUCUAUCCAUUUGGAUUACAGGUGCAGGUGUGGGUUUGGGAUUCAACCCUCGAGUGUUGGUCUCUAUGUCUUCCACUCGCAGGUAACAUGCCCGUUGCCAUCUUGUACUAUUGUCAUAUAGCUUUCCAUGGCGCCCCCACCCUAACUCUCUGUGCGUCGCCGUCCAGCUCUGCUUUGCCGACGAGCUCCGUGCCACCGGCGAGCUCUGCACCGGUGACCUCCAGGCGCCGACGAGCCUCCACUCGUCUUAGUAGCAUGGAGAUGUUGGGCUUAAAGCGCAAGUUGCAAAGCGUAUGUACAUCAGCACGAUCCAUAUAUAUGUACAUGCAGGCAGCGUCGCUUCCCCACGGAAGAACUUGCAUCACUUGUGGUGGCCCAACCAAAGUAUCUUGCUUUGCUUUCAUCAUCUAAUAUACAAUAUAAACCUUCUAUAUAUCUAAAAUAUUUUUGGAAACACUACAGCGACAAAAGGGUGGUGGUGCAUCUCAAUCUGAUCACCUGAAGCUCGAGGCAACUGCUGACCGUAUACCGUGUCAAGAACGCAAGGAUGAUAUCUAAAAUGUUCUGUUCUAGCUAUCCACUAAUACUGUAGCAUUUUAUUUUCUCUACUACUUUUUCCACGGUGUCCGAUCCUCCUUUCACGAUCGAGGGGAAAAAAAUUAACGAACCGUGAGAACGACGCGCGCGAGGACCUGAGAAUCGAGCCAUCGAGGGAAGAAAACAAGUGGCGCGUACGCGUUGUUGAAGAAGGCCUGCUAACUCCGAGUCUGCAGCGUCGUCGUCGUCGUCCAAUGUCGACGUCAUCGUCGUUGUCGAGUCGUCGUCCAUCUCUUUUCCCCGUCCAAAGACGAAGAAUCCUGAACCAAGUACCAUGCUGUUUCGAGGCACUAUUUUGUCCAUCCGAUCCAUUCUCCAGCAGCUAGCAAUAUAUACUUCCUCUCCUAUAUAUAUAAAACGGCAUAGUACGUCCGUGCUCACGCCCAUGUCGCAGCCGUCGUCGCCUAUAUAUAUAUAUAUAUAUAUAUACGUAUGCAAAGCACAGCCAGAACAAGGAAGACGAAGCCGCUGCCCGAUGGCAAUUUCUUGGCGAGUGUGCUUGUUCGCGCUCGUCGUGGCUCUAGGGUUUCUCUUCUUCUUGGACGGUGCAGCGGCGGCGAGAAGUGCAGGGACGUCGUCGGCGGCAGCGCAGCGCCGGCGAGAGGUUCGAAGCCUCCUCACGCGGCUCAACAAGCCUCCUCUCGCGACCAUUGAGGUAUACACACAUCAACUGGCCUAUAGCUACACGCUCGUUACCAAAUUGAAUAAUAAACGAAAAUUCCUCGGAGUGAAUUCUUGCCAACACGUACGUACGUACCUUAUUUGCUAGUCCCAAACACUCCAAAAUAAAUAAAUAAUUAAUUAAUCAUGUGCUCAUCGUUAUAUGCCCGUGCAUGCUGCCUCGCUCGUCACUACCUGGAUCGAUGUCCAGUAGUGCGUGAAUUGCACUUGCAGCACCCAUAUGGCACACCAAGCAUGCAUGGAGUAAAUGUGGUGCUAGCUUGGCCAUUGUUUUAAAACUGUGUUUUAUAGCAGCAUAAAAAACCGUGUUUUAAUACAACUGUGUUGUAGCGGACCAUUACAGUGUCCCUAUAAACCGUUUUAUUUUUUUUUAAAAAAAAAACUGGUGCUUUUUGAUACAGAAUACGUUCGGCUCAGCAUAUAUAUAUGCUAGCUUGACGAGUAAUAUCCACGUACUCCUGGAAUGCAACCAAGUUUCCUACGAGAAGUCUUCAUCUAGAAACAUUUUCCAUGUAUUGGUGGGUGCACUCCAUUGUGGUUUUUAGACGAGAGAGGAUACCGGAAAGAUAUAGCUUACUGAUGGUUUUAUUAAGUCAGCCGUCCAAAACAAACGGUUUUAAGCAACAUUUAUUUGACUCGGUAAACAACAGUUUCAUUUUUUUUAAAUAACAACACAUAAAACUUUCAAGGGUAUUGAGGUCGUUGUUCUGGUAGGACCAGAAAAUUGAUUUUUAGAAUUGGUUCAUAAGCUACAGUGCGGUCUAGCAAUUAUAGAAGCAGUUGACUAGGUCGUCUGGCAAAAUAUGAAGUUUUCUUUGUAGACCACGUUGAUGGCGCGUGUUUCAUUAAACAGAUAGCAAAAUAUGAAGUAAAUAUAACAGUUACUACGUGUGUAGUCCUGCCAAUAUGAAGUUGUCUUUUUUACUUUUAACAGUAUAUAUUUUGCCAAUAUAACAGUUACUAUGUGUGUAGUACUUAUAUUAUAAAAUCAAGCCAACUCUGUGUUGUAACCUUAUUAUAUUUUACUUUUAUAAUGACUUUGCUGGAAAAUACACACAAACAGGCACAAGGACAAUUUGAUUUAUUUUCUUCAAUUUAUUUGGUAAUUUUGAGGCUCGAGAUUAACGUGUGGUGGAGGCUCCUUUAGUUUUAUUGAUCAAAUACUAAGAUAAAAAUAUAUAUGUUCUCUUUCCCUGCCUUGUUGCAAAAACUGAUUCCGCAGUUGUGUUGACAAAUUAUCAGAGCCCAGAUGGAGAUAUCAUUGACUGUGUCCACAUCUCGAAGCAGCCAGCAUUCGAUCAUCCUCUCCUCAAGAAUCAUAGUAUCCAGGUUCCUCUCUUUAUAGCACCGUUAACCUUUUGGUUUAAGUGUUUUGCAUGUUAAGCUAGCCUACCUAAUCAUGAAAUGACUCAAAUGGUGCUCUAUGGUCACCUUUCAGAUGAUGCCCUCUUGCCACCCAGAAGGACUCAAUAACAAUUCAAAUAUUGCACCAAAUCCUUUCACCCAAACAUGGCAUCAAAAUGGCAAGUGCCCAGAGAAUACCAUACCGAUCCGAAGGACCAAAGAAGAGGAUGUCCUGAGGGUGAGCUCCAUUGAGAGAUAUGGCAAGAAGUCGCCUUGGAGCAUCCCAAACCGUUUUUCCAUUGAUGACCCUGACUCGGUGAACGUAUUAAGAGGCCACCAGGUACAAAAAUGUCCUCCUAGAAUCACAUUCAUAGUAUUACUAAUCUUCCCUUCUGGGUUUUUGUUAUUAUUUCUGAAAUUUCACAUUCAUUUAUUAUUUUCUCACUGACUGAGCAGCAUGCCAUAGCAUCUGCGCCGGAGGAUGACAACUACUAUGGUACCCAAGCAACCUUCAAUUUGUGGGAACCAAUUGUUGAGAUGGACGAAGGAUUCAGUUUGACCCAGUUCUGGAUUAGUAGUGGGUCCUACUCAAACAACGACCUGAAUACUAUAGAAGCAGGAUGGCAGGUGAGUCCUGUUACAUAAGAAAAGAUACAGUAUGUCUAAACAAACUCAGUUGAACAGAAGCAAACAACAACCAAUUGGAUGAGCCAUGACGAGUACAGAAAAGACAAGUAGCAGCUACUGUGAGAACAGAAUGAAGACACUACAAAAACAAUCCCAAAAUAGGGAAUUUCACAUAUUGGUUGACGUGUUGGCAAGACUUCACACUGCAUCUAGACACCCUCAAUGAAAAAAGACAGAAUAAGCCGUCUGCGAUACUAAGUUCAUCCUGCCUGUUUCGUUUGCUUCCACCAAAUGACAAUCUCAAAUUCUCUGUCCUCUUUUGUGAAAUUCUCUGCACUGUUUUGUCAGCUAACAAAAUAAAUCUUAGAUACCCUAGCUAGGUAGCUAUCUAGAACUUCAUUCAGUCAUUAUUACUAGUACUUGACAAUUCUUACAGGAAAAUAAAUUGUAUGCCAAUUUAGCUGUUUGAAAGUUCAAGAAAAAUUGACAGACUUGGUAGACGAUAACAUGUACUAUUAUGUAAGACAGUAUUUGUUAAAGGUGUAGUUCGCUGUGAAAUAUCUUUCAUUAUUGCUCAUGUACAAAAGCUUUCUACAAAUUGUAGGUUUACCCAGGUCUGUAUAAGGAUAGACACACAAGACUCUUCAUCUACUGGACUGUAAGAUAAAUAUUAUGGUGCUUUUUAUCAUCAUUUUUUAUAUUGGUCCCUUUUUUGUAGGGUCAUAAAUUGCAUAACAAUGAUCUAAUUCUUUUAUAAAUUUGGAAUAUUGUAGCGGGAUGCAUACAACAAAACAGGAUGCUACAAUCUACUAUGCUCAGGGUUUAUACAGACAAGCAACCAGAUUGCCAUCGGUGCUAGCAACUCCUACCUGUCCCCUGUCUCCGUCUAUGGUGGCUCACAAUAUGACUUCACUAUUUUAGUUUGGAAGGUAAACACAAAAACCUUUCACAAUCCAUGCCAUCUACUUUUUGUUCAUACUCAAUGUACUUUCAGGCUUUAUGACACAUUACAUAUGGAUUUAGUUUGUCACCUUGCAUGUUAAUGUUUGUCUACACAUGCACCACUUAGACUGUUAAAGUAGUGCUCUUUUAAGCGAUUUCCUCUACUGCUAGUGAUUUCUAAGGGAGUUAGAGUGAUCCAAACAUUUAGCUAAUGUACAAUUGCAAUUUUUCCCAUUGUGAACUUGUUUGGUGGUCUUGCUGCUAAAUUAGACUUAGGACUUAAGACUUAACAGAUCUAUAGUACAGAUUGAAAAACUAUCAACUAUUAACAUUUCUGAUUACAUAUGGCAUGACAUGGCAUUUUUUAAUUCAUGCACUUUAGAUAGGGAAUCAACAACAAUAUUCCUUAAUCAUGAUUUUGUCUACUGAAAUCUCCAAAAAAUUUUGAAUUUCAG
rnacentral:lncRNA from 1 species